UCGCGGUCCCCUUCCUUGGGGCGUUUCCUCCCUAGACUUGGGCCCGGGCGCCGAAUGGCGACCGGGCCUCUUUAUUUGUCCUUC
rfam:Rhodopseudomonas palustris CGA009 complete genome.